rnacentral:rRNA from 1 species
AUUGAACGCUGGCGGCAGGCCUAACACAUGCAAGUCGAGCGAGCGGCGGACGGGUGAGUAAUGUCUGGGAAACUGCCCGAUGGAGGGGGAUAACUACUGGAAACGGUAGCUAAUACCGCAUACCAUCAGAUGUGCCCAGAUGGGAUUAGCUGGUAGGUGGGGUAAUGGCUCACCUAGGCGACGAUCCCUAGCUGGUCUGAGAGGAUGACCAGCCAAACUGGAACUGAGACACGGUCCAGACGCCUACGGGGGGCAGCAGGGGGGAAUUUUUGAAAAUGGGCGCAAGCCGGAUGCAGCCAUGCCGGGUGUGUGAAGAAGGCCUUCGGGUUUUAAAGCACUUUCAGCGGGGGGGCGUUACCCGCAGAAGAAGCACCGGCUAAAUCCGUGCCAGCAGCCGCGGUAAUUC